rfam:Oryza barthii chromosome 12, whole genome shotgun sequence.
UGUAUCGUUUAUCGCCAAUGGUUGACCGUCCAUCUUAUUUCAAAAAAAUUAUGAUUAGUAUUUCUGUUGUUAUUAGAUGAUAAAACAUGAAUAAUACUUUAUGUGUGACUAUUUUUUAAAAAAUUUCUUUAAAAAUUUUUCAAAUAAGAUAGAUGGUCAAACAUUGAAUACGGAAACUCACAACUGUACUAGGA